GAACACUUCUCUAAACUAAAGCUGGUCGGAUUCCUGUGGUGGUGUUGUCUGUCCUCUGUGACUUUACCUCCACUGUUAAAUGUGAGAUCAGCAUGUUUAAUAAAGGAAUAUUACAACAUGGAUCUCUAUCACUACUGCUGCUGCUGUUGUCCUUCAUAUGGACAAUCUGGAGGAAUACUAGCAACACUGAUCUAAUGCUGGACUGUACCUACAUACUCGGAGAAAGCCUGAUACACAGAGGAAGGAAAAGAUACUCAUAUCUGGAUUUAAGAUCAAAUUCAUUUGUAUUAUCUAGAAACAGCUACUAUGAAGUGUUUGUUCUACCUGGAAGAUGUUAAAGUGUAUUCGUGUUGAUGAUGUUUCUGUAUGAGUGAUCUUCACUGUAACAUCUGCAGCAUAGAGAGGUUUUUGUACCAGCAGUAAUAGGGAAUGUAUCACUGUGGUGGACUUUUGGAAGCGGCACCAGACUAGAUGUUGGAAGUAACAGGGCCCCCACCCUCACCAUCCUGCCCCCCUCUAGUGAGGAGCUGUCCAGUACAACAAUAGCCACACUGAUGUGUUUGGCCAACAAGGGCUUCCCCUCAGACUGGACCAUGAGCUGGAAAGUGGAUGGGACCAGCAAAAAGCAGGAGACCAGUCCCGGGGUCCUGGAGAAGGACGGCCUGUACAGCUGGAGCAGCACCCUGACUCUCACUGCCCAGGAGUGGACCAAGGCAGGAGAGGUGACCUGUGAAGCCCAGCAGAAAUCCCAGACUCCAGUCACCAAGACCCUGAGGAAGGCUGACUGUUCUGGGUAGGAUCCCUCAGACACACACCCCUGUGGAGAGAGAUUGCUGGUUCCUCUGCUUUGACUUGCUUCGUUCUCUGAUUUAGUGAUCACUCUCGUAUAGACUAACAGGGGGCUUGGCUUGAGUUCAUGUAUCAAUCCAUUCUGUAGACUGAGAUUUUGUUAGAUUUAGAUUUGAUGUGAUGUUUUAUUCACUAUCAUGUUUGCUUUGAUGCUUCAAUUAUGAAAUAAUGGAUUCAAAUAAAGAUGUAUUUUUGCAAUGCA